AAUAAGAGAAAAAGAGAAACUGAGAUUAUGUGUGUCGUUGAGGUUUGGUUUAAAUUUGGUGUUUGAAAUUUGAAUUGAAGAGAAAACGAGUGGAUUAGGUUAGAUUCAUCAUUUCGCAGCCGAGGCCAGAUUAAACGCAGUGAGUUGAACUCGGUGGAGAGGCAUAGCCGUCGGACUGUGAAGGUGACUUUCGCGACUUUGAUCUGGGUUGAGAUCUAAUCGAUUUGCGAGCAGAUCGAAGUCGCACUCCCAAAAGCAACAGUGAAGAUGUUGGAGAAAAAAGGAGAGUUCAACAUGGUGAAAGUCAUAGAGGAUUUUGAAGCAAUGACAAGUGAUGUGGAGAGGAUCCAGAAGGAGACCCUCAAGAAGAUUCUCGAGCAAAACUGAUUUGCAGAGUACUUGCAGCUCAUGGGACUUAAUGGAAGAACUGACCUUGAGAGUUUCAAGAGGUGUGUUCCUCUUGUUACUCACAAGUCACGAGAACUUAGACCCUUAUAUUCUAAGAAUUGCUGAUGGUGAGUCCUCUUCAGUUCUCAUUGACAACAAUCUCACUGAGUUCUGGUACUACUCAAGAAAGGUCAAAGUUUGUGCCUUUCAAUGAUGAACUGAUGGAAAAUACCAUGCAGAUACAUCAAACCUCUUUUGCCUUCAGAAACAGGGAGUUUCGUAUUGGGAAUGGCCGAAUGGGAAGGCUUUACGGUUCAUCUAUGGAAUCAAGAAAUUUCAUACCAAAGGUGGUUUGGCAACUGGGACUAUUACCACCAAUGUUUACCGUUGCUCCAAGAUCAAGGAAACAAUGAAGGCCAUGCAGACCCCUUGCUGCAUCCCUGAUGAAGUAAUAUUUGGUCUCAAGUUUCAUCAAUCUCUAUACUACCAUCUGUUAUUAUGACCUUGAAUCGAUUGAAGAAUAUGAGCGCGAGAGGUACAUAUUUGUCUUUGUGAAGCAAAAAAGGUUGGUCUUGUAUUUGGUGGAAGCGGGGACGCUGCAAGCUAGUACUGUUGCGGAUCGUAUACAGUUCUAUAUGCAGCAGUGCUGCUUACAGGUAAUUGUAAGUCAGUGGAGUGGUGACAUUUUAUUGCUCAAAUGGUUUUGGAAUUUGAAUUUGUUGUUAUAUGCUGGUGAUUCCUCUGCAUCUUCCCCCCGGUGACACCUCAAUCAAAAGACGGUACAAAUUGAUGGAACUAAUGAACAAAUUGAAGCUGCCAAACAGUUGGUGAAUGAAUUUAUUAGCAAGCUUGAUGACUGCAUUAAGGAUUAUGACAACGUUGUCGAAAAGGGAAGAGAGGGCGGUUCUAGGAAGUGUAAUGAACUAUGGUGCUCAUCAUGCUCACUGCAAUGUUAUGAUCGUGAAGAGGCCUAGAAUCAAACUCUAUAGCACGUCUAGUUGAUUGUCUUCUGCUCCUUGUUUUUGCAAACUAAUGUAAAUAAACAUGGUGCAGUCAGAUUUUUUUUUCUGAAUAAUAGUGCAAUCAGAUUAAUGAAAAUUCAAUUCCAUAAAGACCAUUGGAUCAAUUACCUUGUAUAAGUACCAUUGGAUUAAAUAGUGGAUGAUUUAGGAGGCAUUGACCU